rnacentral:rRNA from 1 species
UACGAAGGGGGCUAGCGUUGCUCGGAAUUACUGGGCGUAAAGGGAGCGUAGGCGGGUCGUCAAGUUGGGGGUGAAAGCCCAGGGCUCAACCCUGGAACUGCCUUCAAAACUGGCGACCUAGAGUAUGGUAGAGGUGUGUGGAACUCCGAGUGUAGAGGUGAAAGUCGUAGAUAUUCGGAAGAACACCAGUGGCGAAGGCGACACACUGGGCCAUUACUGACGCUGAGGCUCGAAAGCGUGGGGAGCAAACAGG